rnacentral:rRNA from 1 species
GAUGAACGCUGGCGGCGUGCCUAAUACAUGCAAGUAGAACGCUGAAGGAAGGAGCUUGCUCUUUCCGGAUGAGUUGCGAACGGGUGAGUAACGCGUAGGUAACCUGCCUGGUAGCGGGGGAUAACUAUUGGAAACGAUAGCUAAUACCGCAUAACAGUAGAUGUUGCAUGAUAUCUACUUAAAAGGUGCAAUUGCACCACUACCAGAUGGACCUGCGUUGUAUUAGCUAGUUGGUGAGGUAACGGCUCACCAAGGCGACGAUACAUAGCCGGCCUGAGAGGGUGAUCGGCCACACUGGGACUGAGACACGGCCCAGACUCCUACGGGAGGCAGCAGUAGGGAAUCUUCGGCAAUAGACGGAAGUCUGACCGAGCAACGCCGCGUGAGUGAAGAAGGUUUUCGGAUCGUAAAGCUCUGUUGUAAGAGAAGAACGAGUGUGAGAGUGGAAAGUUCACACUGUGACGGUAUCUUACCAGAAAGGGACGGCUAACUACGUG